CCUACGGGACGCACCAGUGGGGAAUAUUGGACAAUGGGCGAAAGCCUGAUCCAGCAAUGCCGCGUGUGUGAAGGAGGUCUUCGGAUUGUAAAGCACUUUCGACGGGGACAAUGAUGACGGUACCCGUAGAAGAAGCCCCGGCUAAUUCCGUGCCAGCAGCCGCGGUAAGACGGGGGGGGCAAGUGUUCUUCGGAAUGACUGGGCGUAAAGGGCACGUAGGCGGUGAAUCGGGCUGAAAGUGAAAGUCGCCAAAAACUGGCGGAAGACUCUCGAAACCAAUUCACUUGAGUGAGACAGAGGAGAGUGGAAUUUCGUGUGUAGGGGUGAAAUCCGGAGAUCUACGAAGGAACGCCAAAAGCGAAGGCAGCUCUCUGGGUCCCUACCGACGCUGGAGUGCGAAAGCAUGGGGAGCGAAGGGGAUUAGAUACCCGUGUAGUC
rnacentral:rRNA from 1 species